rnacentral:rRNA from 9 species
UUUUAUCGUUGGCCUCAGAUCAGGGAGGAUCACCCGC